GGCGGCGUGCUUAACACAUGCAAGUCGAACGAAAAUACCAAGCUUGCUUGGUUGAUUAGUGGCGAACGGGUGAGUAACACGUGAGUAACCUGCCCCUUACUUUCCUGGAUAACUGCUCGAAAGGGUAGCUAAUACGGGAUAUUCUGACCAUCCUGCAUGGGUUGGUUUGGAAAGGUUGUUUUUCUGGUAAGGGAUGGGCUCGCGGCCUAUCAGCUUGUUGGUGGGGUGAUGGCCUACCAAGGCUUUGACGGGUAGCCGGCCUGAGAGGGUGGACGGUCACACUGGGACUGAGAUACGGCCCAGACUCCUACGGGAGGCAGCAGUGGGGAAUAUUGCACAAUGGGCGCAAGCCUGAUGCAGCGACGCCGCGUGAGGGAUGAAGGCCUUCGGGUUGUAAACCUCUUUCGUCAGGGAACAAGGCACUGCUUUGGUGGUGUUGAGGGUACCUGGAUAAGAAGCGCCGGCUAACUACGUGCCAGCAGCCGCGGUA
rnacentral:rRNA from 1 species